AACGCGUAUAAAUUGCGAGGGUGUUCAAAAUGCCUUGGAUAGAUUUAAGAGUGAGGGAGCAGUCUCGCUUUCAAUGUCACUAUCUAUAUGCAAGAAAUUACAUCCUUAUCAUGACAAAGGUAUAUGCCAAUCUAAACUUGGAAGGAAACGUAUGGCUUUUAAAGCAAAAUUCUUUUAGGGGCUUCACGGGAUGUUUUGUUUGUUUUCUUAGCUUCAUCCGAGAGGCGGCAACUGCGGAGAGUGCCGAGCGUGCUUCCGCGCCUCAGCUGGAAGUGCUGGCAGGUGCUGGACUCUGGCUUCACCUGACGGAACCAGCACCAGGUCAGCACCAAGUUCUGGGCACCCAAGCCCAUCACUGCCAUUAGAGGCCCUCUCCUGGAAGUGGGGUAGUCCUGUCGGGGUCCAUCUGUCAGAGUCCUUGCAUAAGCACAGAGGAUCGAGGACUUGCCGAAGGUGCAGCAGCUGGUCUCAAGCACAGAUUCAACCAGACACAGGUUUACCGACACUUUUGUUUUCUACCACUAAACUUUAACUGCAUUACUAAUACGUGGUUUUCUAUAGACAC